rnacentral:misc_RNA from 1 species
UGCGGCUUGCUUGAGCAACAAGUCCUAAAUCUCCCGUUCCCUCUAAUUGCUUCUUGACUUGCUUCUCAGUCCUCCCAAACGCCUCAGCAAGUGCUUUGAUAAUGAUUGAUUCUCCAAUUCCCAGCUCCACUCCCUCAUGCGCAGGCGCAACCUUGUUAGCCAAAAGAUAUACCAAUGCUAGCAAAUCGUCAGGCGUCGUAUCCAUUACAGUUCUCAACAUAUUGCACACCAUAUUAGUGAUCAAAAUCCUCCCGCUCUCUUUUUCAAUCAACUCAAAACCCAAACAGACAAAUAUAAAAGGAACCCUCUCGCCCUUCUCCCAAGACAACACUUUUUUUGUUUGGGGUCAAAAUCCCCGGGACUCUUCUUCAAUGACUCAAUCUUACUCUUCAAGUCCGCAAUUUCCACACGUUGUUUCUUGCUAUUAAUAACUCUUUC